rnacentral:rRNA from 1 species
UACAGAGGUGGCAAACGUUGUUCGGAAUUACUGGGCGUAAAGGGCGCGUAGGCGGCCUUCUAAGUCAGACGUGAAAUCCCCCGGCUUAACCUGGGAACUGCGUCUGAUACUGGGAGGCUUGAGUAUGGGAGAGGGAUGUAGAAUUCCAGGUGUAGCGGUGAAAUGCGUAGAUAUCUGGAGGAAUACCGGUGGCGAAGGCGGCAUCCUGGACCAUAACUGACGCUGAGGCGCGAAAGCUAGGGGAGCAAACGGG